UACGGAGGGGACUAGCGUUGUUCGGAAUUACUGGGCGUAAAGCGUCCGCAGGUGGCACCUCAAGUCUGCUGUCAAAGACCGGGGCUUAACCCCAGAAAGGCAGUGGAAACUGAAGUGCUAGAGUGCAGUAGGGGUAGAGGGAAUUCCCGGUGUAGCGGUGAAAUGCGUAGAGAUCGGGAAGAACAUCGGUGGCGAAAGCGCUCUGCUGGACUGCAACUGACACUCAGGGACGAAAGCUAGGGGAGCGAAUGGG
rnacentral:rRNA from 1 species